rnacentral:rRNA from 1 species
GACGUUACCUACAGAAGAAGCACCGGCUAACUCCGUGCCAGCAGCCGCGGUAAUACGGAGGGUGCGAGCGUUAAUCGGAAUUACUGGGCGUAAAGCGCAUGCAGGCGGCCUGUUAAGUCAGAUAGUCGGAAAGCCCGGGGCUUAAACCUCGGAAUUGCAUUUGAAACUGGUAGGCUAGAGUCUUGUAGAGGGGGUAGAAUUUCAGGUGUAGCGGUGAAAAUGCGUAGAGAUCUGAAGGAAUACCAGUGGCGAAGGCCGGCCCCCUGGACAAAGACUGACGCUCAGAUGCGAAAGCGUGGGGAGCAAACAGGAUUAGAUACCCUGGUAG